UACGGGAGGAGCAAGUAUUGUUUGUAAUGACUUGGCGUAAAGGGCGUGUAGAUCGUAGUUUAUAUUUUUAGUUAAAUUUUACAAAUUUAAGUAAAAAAUUAAAAAUUUAUAUUUACUAGAGUAUAAUCUCAGAUUUGUAGUAUUUUUUUUUUAGGGCUGAAAUCCAAAUAUAAAGAUAAAAAAAAAAGAAUAUCAAUAAGGCGUAGGCAAUAAGUUAGAGUGUACUGACGUUGAGGCGCGAAAGCUUGGUUCGCUAAUGGG
rnacentral:rRNA from 1 species